rnacentral:rRNA from 1 species
GUGCUAUACUGCAGUCGAGCGGACAGAUGGGAGCUUGCUCCCUGAUGUUAGCGGCGGACGGGUGAGUAACACGUGGGUAACCUGCCUGUAAGACUGGGAUAACUCCGGGAAACCGGGGCUAAUACCGGAUGGUUGUUUGAACCGCAUGGUUCAGACAUAAAAGGUGGCUUCGGCUACCACUUACAGAUGGACCCGCGGCGCAUUAGCUAGUUGGUGAGGUAACGGCUCACCAAGGCGACGAUGCGUAGCCGACCUGAGAGGGUGAUCGGCCACACUGGGACUGAGACACGGCCCAGACUCCUACGGGAGGCAGCAGUAGGGAAUCUUCCGCAAUGGACGAAAGUCUGACGGAGCAACGCCGCGUGAGUGAUGAAGGUUUUCGGAUCGUAAAGCUCUGUUGUUAGGGAAGAACAAGUGCCGUUCAAAUAGGGCGGCACCUUGACGGUACCUAACCAGAAAGCCACGGCUAACUACGUGCCAGCAGCCGCGGUAAUACGUAGGUGGCAAGCGUUGUCCGGAAUUAUUGGGCGUAAAGGGCUCGCAGGCGGUUUCUUAAGUCUGAUGUGAAAGCCCCCGGCUCAACCGGGGAGGGUCAUUGGAAACUGGGGAACUUGAGUGCAGAAGAGGAGAGUGGAAUUCCACGUGUAGCGGUGAAAUGCGUAGAGAUGUGGAGGAACACCAGUGGCGAAGGCGACUCUCUGGUCUGUAACUGACGCUGAGGAGCGAAAGCGUGGGGAGCGAACAGGAUUAGAUACCCUGGUAGUCCACGCCGUAAACGAUGAGUGCUAAGUGUUAGGGGGUUUCCGCCCCUUAGUGCUGCAGCUAACGCAUUAAGCACUCCGCCUGGGGAGUACGGUCGCAAGACUGAAACUCAAAGGAAUUGACGGGGGC